AGACAUCUGAGAUGCAAUCUGUAAUUUGUUCUCAGGGCCCCAUAUUGCCAGAGUUUCAGGAAAUGAUCAAGCUACUGAUUGUCAAUAAUCCUGUAAACAAAGAUGUAGCAAGCACUUGGAACUGGCAAUUUGGAAGUGGGGCAUGAACUAGAUGGGAAGUUGUGGCACUUGGAAUAAUGGAG